rnacentral:rRNA from 1 species
CCUACGGGUGGCAGCAGUGGGGAAUAUUGCACAAUGGGGGAAACCCUGAUGCAGCGACGCCGCGUGAGUGAAGAAGUAUUUCGGUAUGUAAAGCUCUAUCAGCAGGGAAGAAAAUGACGGUACCGGAUUAAGAAGCCCCUGCUAACUACGUGCCAGCAGCCGCGGUAAUACGUAGGGGGCAAGCGUUAGCCGGAUUUACUGGGUGUAAGGGGAGCGUAGACGGCAGCACAAGUCUGGAGUGAAAUGCCGGGGCUUAACCCCGGAACUGCUUUGGAAACUGUGCAGCUAGAGUGCAGGAGAGGUAAGUAGAAUUCCUAGUGUAGCGGUGAAAUGCGUAGAUAUUAGGAGGAACACCAGUGGCGAAGGCGGCUUACUGGACUGUAACGGACGUUGAGGCUCGAAAGCGUGGGGAGCAAACAGGAUUAGAUACCCUUGUAGUC